rnacentral:lncRNA from 1 species
UAAAUGAUAUGUAACAAAGUGUUAUAGACACUGGGUGUUAUAUGUUGGCAAAUCGAACUUCAAUAAAAAAUAUAUAUACAUAAAGACAAAAAAUACUGUAUUGGCUCUUCUAAAAUAUUGUCUUCAUUAACCUGUUCUAAGUUUUAAUAGUUAAUAGGAGUUUAAUACAGGGUGUCCAGAGGACAAGCAAUUCACAGUCAUCAAGAGUGUGGUUAUGUAACCUUUACCAGUGUGUAGCAAUAUCAUUUAAUUUUCUGUUCACUACAUCCACAGUUAUACUCAAGCCUACAAAGGUUGCAAUUUAAGUGCACUUUUAGGUAGGUGGUCUCCAAUUCUAAUUAAUCAUAGUUGGUUAAUCUCUAGUCAGGGGCAGAAGAAACCUGUGCAGAUGAGUGCAACUAUACUGGCAGACACUGCUAAAGGACAAAAUUUCUCUCCUUUUCCAGAAUCUCUUGAGGAUGUUCUCAUCACUCAAGAUUGCAGACUUGGGCGUACAGUUGAAUUCAAAACAGUAAUACCUUAUAUAUGCAACCUUUUUUCUCUCCUCACAAACCUUUUCUUUUUAAAAAAAUAGUUUUCUCAUUUAAUUCUUUCUUUCAUUCAUCAAACAUUUAUUAAUUGCUAGAUGCUAGGUAUCUAAAAUUUAGUAUUACAGUACCCACACUCAAAGGGGUUCAGUCUAGAGGAAGAGAUACAUUAACAAACAACCAUAGAACAAUGUGGUAAGUGUAUAGUACUGGGAAAUAAAGAUGAAAUAAUUUGAUUUUUUUUUAAAAAAGAGGUAUCUUUGAAAAGUAUCUUUUAAAUAUGCUUAAAUCACAUUUUAAUAAUUUGUUUAGGAUCCCUACUGUGAAGAGACUUUCCAGUAAAGGAUGUAUGUAUAGGUAAUUCUUACUUUUUGUGUUCUUUACACUCUGUCACUUAACUUACCCCACCUUAUCUCAUUAGCAUCCAUACUUUAUUCUGAGUUCUUACCCAUUUAUUCAUUUCUUGCAGCGGGAUCCUGCAGGAAAGCAACUCAGAGAGUGGGAAAUGAAAGCAGGAAUGGAAAGUGAUUAUACUCACUUAUGUUAAAAAAAGUUCUAAGACAUUAUCUUCAUAAAAUGUGCCCCAAAUUACAGUAAUAAUUAAAGUGUAGAGUUUUGUGGCUCUGAGGCUUUUUAAAAAUGAAUUUUUGGUUUCUUUAUUAUAGACAGCAGGAGUUGCCCAAUAUAUGACCUGUGGGAAAGUUUCUUGGUAUGUCUUUUGACAGGUUUUUAAGUGUCUCUGAGAUCUGAAAAGAGACAGCGUGAGCUAGCUUCCUCUACUGUGAAAUGACAACUACUAUUAAGUGGGAGCAAAAAUCUGUGAACCAGAUAAAUUACUUAUGUCUGAAGAAAAAGAAGUUGAGCAUGAUCAAUAACAUGGUUGGACAUCCCCAUGUCUGCAGAUUCCUGAUAAAUCAGAACUGAAGGGGGAAACAUAAGAAAGUAAAAAAAAUCCUGUGGAGGAAUUAGCUAGUAAAUCAUUUGCCAAUGAUUUAAAGGUUGUUUAUUUGAAAACUAGAUUUGGUUGGUAUUUUUGGUUUUCAAGUCCAUUUUUUAAAAUAUUUGUUUAUUUUAGAGAGACACAGAGUACACAGAGCACUGCAGAAGGAGCAAAGAAUCUCAAUAGACUCCCCACUGAGCAUGAAGCCCAAUGUGGGGCUCAAUCCCAGGACUCCAAGAUCAUGACCUGAGCCGAAAUCAAGAGUCCGAUGCUUAACUGACUGAGCCACCCAGGCACCCCUCAAAUCCAUUUUUACGUUAAUACAUGUUGUAAGUCCAAACUAGAAACUACUCAAGUGUCCCUAACUACAGAGUGGAUAAAUUAUGAAACAUGCACACACAAUAGGAUAAUACUCGGCAAUAAAAAUGAGUAAACGUCAUUUGCAUAAACAUGGAUGAAUCUCACAACAUUGAACAAAAACAAGUCAUAUACAAAAGAGUACAUACCAUAUAAUUCCAUUUAUAUACAAUCUCAAAAUAGUCAAAACUCAUCAUUGAUUGUUAGAAGUCCAGAUAGUGGCUAUGUAGAGGAAUUGGGAGGCAUAGCCUUAAAGGGAACAUGAGACUAUGCUGGCAGUGUUCUUCCUUUAAAUCUAGAUAUUGGUUAAAUAGGUGUAUUUACUUUAGGAGAAUUCUUCAAACUAUACUUAGGAUUGUACACAGUUUUCUGCAUGCCAUAUUUCACAAAAGUUUCCUUAAGUAAUAUAUAUGUUCACUUUAGAAGAUAUUUUUGAAAAAUUGGAAUAUAUUGAAUAUUCAGUCUUGACACUUGCUUUUCAUUUAACACUGUCAUAAGCAUAUUCUCAUAUUAUUUAAUAUGUUUCAUUGAUAGGAAUGCUAAUACCUUAAUUAUCUUAAGAUAUUUUGAAAAUAAGGAAAUGUUUAUUGUGUAUAUAUGCAUUCACACACUAAUAUGUAGAGUUGUAACAUAAAAACCAGAGUUAAAAACCCAAUACAGAAUAAUUUCUUAAUAUUUUUUUCAUUUUAGACCACUAAGCUAAUGCUACCGAAAGCAUACACACUCUUCCUUCAGCCCAGUAACAGUAAUGAUCUUUAAUUCCUUUUCACAGUGUUCACCUUAAGGUUUAGGUGAUAAACUGGAUCAGUUUACCUAUGCUUCAAUGUUUAGUUUGUGGUUCUUUAGAUUUAAGCUAAAGGAUACAGUUAGAAAAUUAUGUAUAUCAUAAACUACCAGGGUUCAUAAAUCCACAGUGGGACUUUUAUGCCCUACAAGUAGAAUCUCAACAGUGUGACUUUGAGUAAAUUAUACCUCAGUUUCCUCGUCCGUAAGGUUAUCAGGACCUAGGAUUAUAAGUAUUAAAUGAGUGCAUUCAUGUUAGUCUCUUAAAAUAGUAUCUGGCACAGGAGGUACUCUAUAAAAUUUCACCAUUAUUACUGCAACUAACAUUACCACCAAUAAGAUAAUUUGUGGCUUCCCAGUCUGGUGUCUAUGUUUUUAGCCUACCUCCAAUAUUUAAUUAAUUUAUUUUAUUUCUAGGAUAGAAAAUGGAAUUUUAGGCUAUCAGCAAGACUCCUGUCUGCAUCUGUGAUGCAGGGCCUUUGACUCUGUUAUACUCUUUGGAACUAUGGUCUGUAUUUCAAAAGAAACACUCAUCAUUUUUAUGGACUAAGAUAUUAACCUACUCACUUGUAUAGCAAGAAGGCUUUCCAAAGAAACUAAAUAAAGCUCUCCCUCUGGUGUUGAUGCCGGGAUUAGUAAAAGGGAGCAUACUGGAAAAAAUGGAGGAAAUUGGAAAAUAGAAGGGGGGAAAGUGCAUUACCUGGAUAGAAGAUACUUCUCUCAAAGUACUGUUAUUCAUGACUUCUUUUUACUGUUUUUAACAUUUUAAAACAUAUAUUUUAGUGUAAAAUAUGUUUGUUCUAAGGAGAAUUAAGUGUGAUUGUAUGCUUCCUAAUGGCAACCUGUAAUUAUUUUUAUAACCAUCAGCUGUUUAGAUUUCAUAUUUAUGUUUCAGAAGCAUAGUUGGCAUUUGCAGUUGCUUAAUGAAAAGAAAAGAAUAUGUAGAUGCAAAUUAUUUUUCCUCACUUAUCCAAAACAAGCUUACAAAUACUUUAUAUUUUAGCUAAAAACUUAAUAUAAGGAAGGGACUGUUUUGAACUCUGAAAAAGCCAGAUUACCAAAUAGGCAAAAAGAUUUUUUUAAGGGAAUAAUGAAUCUUCAGAAAUUGAGCACACUUUAUUCCUUUAUUCAUUACAGUAUCGUGGGAAAAUUUGGAGCCUAACAGACCUAGAUUCAAAAGUCAUUCCAGUAUGUUAACUAUAUGACCCUGGUGGGACCAUUAAACUUGUAGGCUUCAGUUUAUCCACAUGUUAAAUGGAGGUUAACAACUGAAAAUUCACAGUAUUAUCCAAAUAUUUGAAGAUUUUAAAUGGUUUCCUUCUUUUCAUCCUAACUCCUUUUCUUUCAGUAUUUCAGUAUUUAUCCCCAAUAGUUAAAAAUAAACUAAAGCAAACAUGAUAUUAAUCACUUUUCCUUCUUUGAUUAUUUUAAGUUAGGUUAAAAUGAAAUAGUUUUAAGGACGAAAUUUAUAUAUAAAAAAAUUUUUUUAGGGGUAGGAAGGACAGAGGCACAGAUUUCUCUUAAGAGAGAAUCUUAAGCAGGCUCCACACCCAGCACAGAGCCCAAAGCAGGGCUCAAUCUCAUGAGGCUAGGAUCAUGACCUAAGCUCCAAAGGCAGCCACUUAACCAACUGAGCCACCCAGGCUCUUGAAGAAACUUGAUUCUUGAUAUCUACAAUAUAUUUAUUUAUUUGCUCAAUCUAAUUGCUCAUUCACACUUUGGAUUUUGCUGAGUUUUCAAUAAGUCUAGUUAGAUUGCACAUUUUGAUUCUAAAAUGCACAAAUGACAUGCUCACACACACAUUCAACUAUUGGAAGUGUAUCAACCAACACUAUUUUCAGUCAUAAGUGUCUCUGUGAUAUAUGGUACCACCACAAAGAGAUAUGGGGUCAUCUUUUCUCACAGUUAACAAGUUUUGUUCAUCGUAUCUCCUAGUAGCUCUCAAACUGCUUUGCUUCUCUUUUCCCCAACCUACCACAUCUCUCAGCUAAACUGUCUUCUAGUAGUUCUCUGCACAUCUGGGUGUGAUCCCCUUCAACACAGAGACUCCGUCAGUGAUUCUUUAAAUAUACAAAUGUGAUCAUUUAACUCUUACUCCCUUUGAUGAUAUUCUCUAUAUUUCAGAUAAAAUUUAAAAUCAUUAACAUAGCUUGAAGCACCCUACACACGUGCUCUGACUUCUACCAGUCUUCUGAGCUUCAAAACAUAGAGUAUUCUCUCCACAUCUACAUUAACCUUUUUUGAGUUCCUCUUUUACAUCCUAGAUCUUGCACAUGCUGUUCCCUCUUAUCCUAAGGGUGCUCCUCUUCCUUGCAUUCUCCUUAGUCCUGCUAACUUCCACAUUUUAUUCAAAUCUCAACUUAAAUAUCAUUUUCUCAAAGUAGUUCCUGAACUGCCUUUCUGGGUUAGACUCCCAUGUCAAAUCAUCCCAAAGCAUUUGGCAUUUCUCAGUGACAAUUUAUACUAAACAUAUUUUUAAUUACUUCUUCAGAGUCAGGUUUUCCAGCUAACUUCUUAAGGGAUUUUGUCUGUUGCACACUGCUCUGUUAACGGUGUCUGAAACAGUGUAGAGCACAGAAACAGGGCUCAGCUAAUAGUGAAUGAAUGCUGAAACAAAUGAAUAAAGGAACCAAAAAUUAUUGUCAAAAAAAUGUUAGGUAGAUGCCGGAACCAUGUCAUAAUUGAUAACUACCAGCAAUACAUAGAAACUGAUUUUUGUACAAUUUUUAUGAAUAUAGAGUCUUUUGGAUCCUUUCUGGUGCAUUGUAUUACCAUAUAGUAUUGGAAAUAUCUCUAGAAGGUAGUAAACAGCCUUUCUCUUAUCCAGCAAAUGGAGAAAGGUUAAAGUAGAUUUGAACAAUGAGUCU